rnacentral:rRNA from 1 species
GGAUUAGAUACCCUGGUAGUCCACACCGUAAACGAUGAAUGCCAGUCGUCGGGUAGUAUACUAUUCGGUGACACACCUAACGGAUUAAGCAUUCCGCCUGGGGAGUACGGUCGCAAGAUUAAAACUCAAAGGAAUUGACGGGGGCCCGCACAAGCGGUGGAGUAUGUGGUUUAAUUCGACGCAACGCGCAGAACCUUACCCAGCCUUGACAUCCCUGGACAACCAUAGAGAUAUGGCUUUCUCUCGCAAGAGAGACCGGGUGACAGGUGCUGCAUGGCUGUCGUCAGCUCGUGCCG